GCAUGCCUACAACAUAGCGCUAAUGCACUGGAUCCCAUUAGAACUCCAUGAUUAAGCAAGCUCAGAAUAGAGUAGUAUUGGGAUGGGUGACCACCUCGAAAGUCCUAGUGUUUUACAUGCC
rnacentral:rRNA from 1 species